rnacentral:pre_miRNA from 1 species
UUAACUUAAAUUUGUGUGGAGUUGGAACGCUUGCCUACGUUUGCCACUAGGGACGCUGUUCCAACUGCAUACAAAUUUGAGUUA